rnacentral:rRNA from 1 species
UGAGGAAUAUUGGACAAUGGGCGCAAGCCUGAUCCAGCCAUGCCGCGUGCAGGAUGACGGUCCUAUGGAUUGUAAACUGCUUUUGUACAGGAAGAAACAGUUCUACGUGUAGAACCUUGACGGUACUGUAAGAAUAAGGAUCGGCUAACUCCGUGCCAGCAGCCGCGGUAAUACGGAGGAUCCAAGCGUUAUCCGGAAUCAUUGGGUUUAAAGGGUCCGUAGGCGGUUAGAUAAGUCAGUGGUGAAAGCCCAUCGCUCAACGGUGGAACGGCCAUUGAUACUGUCUGGCUUGAAUUAUUAGGAAGUAACUAGAAUAUGUAGUGUAGCGGUGAAAUGCUUAGAGAUUACAUGGAAUACCAAUUGCGAAGGCAGGUUACUACUAAUGGAUUGACGCUGAUGGACGAAAGCGUGGGUAGCGAACAGGAUUAGAUACCCCCGUAGUCCCUGAGCGGGCUGGCAAGGCGCAU